GGGGCCGUAGCUCAGUUGGGAGAGCAUGAGGCUGGCAGUCUCAAGGUCGUGGGUUCAAAUCCCACCGGCUCCA
rnacentral:tRNA from 1 species